rnacentral:rRNA from 1 species
UACGUAGGGGGCUAGCGUUGUCCGGAAUCAUUGGGCGUAAAGCGCGCGUAGGCGGCCCGGUAAGUCCGUUGUGAAAGUCAAAGGCUCAACCUUUGAACGCCGAUGGAUACUGCCGGGCUAGAGUCCGGAAGAGGCGAGUGGAAUUCCUGGUGUAGCGGUGGAAUGCGCAGAUAUCAGGAGGAACACCAAUAGCGAAGGCAGCUCGCUGGGACGGUACUGACGCUGAGGCGCGAAAGCGUGGGGAGCAAACAGG